GAAGAGAAAGCCAUUGACUUUCAGUGGAUGCCUUGAGGCUUCAGGAUUCGUAAAGAACUAGUUGUAAAGUGAUUUUCAUUGGUCCACAGAGAAGCAGGGCACUAAAAGAGAGAGGGCAGGAAGUGGACACUUCUGAAGGCAUAAGAAGGGCUUAGGUAAUGGGAGCAAUUUCACCAAAAUUGAACAUCAUUCAUAUUUCAUCUGCUAGUUCAGGUUGGAUUUGCUGCCCAAACAUUUGGAUCUGGUGACUGUGGAUCAGGAGCAAGGUUGGAUUUCCCUAAGAAAAGCUUGUGACAAAGAUUCAAGUGCUAGUAGCUCAUGUGAGUGAUGAUGUCUGGAAACACAGGUAGGAGACAGAGAAGAGAACGGCAAGCAGCCAAUAGAGGGCACAUUACCUGGGAAGUUACCACUGUGAGUAACUGGAGCUGACCCCAACUCUAGGAGACAGUAUGGAGCAUGGGUCUCAAAGUUAUCUCAACAAAGGGGUGAAUGGGCUGUUUAUACAUGAAUUCCAUCAACUAUUGGCUGACAGCUCAUCCAGGAGCAUAAUUCUUCAGCACUUCUGGCUGCUAAGCACAUGGACAAAGAAAACUCAAUUGGAAAUAUAGCAAGAAUACACUGAAAUAGUGAGGGUGAAUGUAUGGGCUGUUGCACAC
rnacentral:lncRNA from 1 species